ensembl:snRNA U6 U6 spliceosomal RNA
GUGCUUGCUUCGGCAGCACAUGUACUAAAAUGGGAAUGAUACAGAGAAGAUUAGCGUGGCCCCUGCACAAGGAUGACAUGCAGAUUCAUGAAGCCUUCCAUAUUAAG